rnacentral:rRNA from 1 species
GCUCAGAUUGAACGCUGGCGGCAGGCUUAACACAUGCAAGUCGAGCGGUAGCACAGGGGAGCUUGCUCCCUGGGUGACGAGCGGCGGACGGGUGAGUAAUGUCUGGGAAACUGCCUGAUGGAGGGGGAUAACUACUGGAAACGGUAGCUAAUACCGCAUAACGUCGCAAGACCAAAGAGGGGGACCUUCGGGCCUCUUGCCAUCAGAUGUGCCCAGAUGGGAUUAGCUAGUAGGUGGGGUAAUGGCUCACCUAGGCGACGAUCCCUAGCUGGUCUGAGAGGAUGACCAGCCACACUGGAACUGAGACACGGUCCAGACUCCUACGGGAGGCAGCAGUGGGGAAUAUUGCACAAUGGGCGCAAGCCUGAUGCAGCCAUGCCGCGUGUGUGAAGAAGGCCUUCGGGUUGUAAAGCACUUUCAGCGAGGAGGAAGGUGAUGAGCUUAAUACGCUCAUCAAUGACGUACUCGCAGAAGAAGCACCG